AUACGGAGGGAGCAAGCGUUAUUCGGAAUCACUGGGCGUAAAGGACGCGUAGGCGGGUUUGUAAGUCAGGUGUGAAAUCCUACAGCUCAACUGUAGAACUGCACUUGAAACUACAGACCUAGAGUAUGGAAGGGGCAGAUGGAAUUAGUGGUGUAGGGGUAAAAUCCGUAGAUAUCACUAGGAAUACCGAAAGCGAAGGCGAUCUGCUGGGACAUUACUGACGCUGAGGCGUGAAAGCGUGGGGAGCAAACGGGAUUAGAAACCCCAGUAGUCC
rnacentral:rRNA from 1 species